rnacentral:rRNA from 1 species
AUUGAACGCUGGCGGCAUGCCUUACACAUGCAAGUCGAACGGCAGCAUAGGAGCUUGCUCCUGAUGGCGAGUGGCGAACGGGUGAGUAAUAUAUCGGAACGUGCCCUAGAGUGGGGGAUAACUAGUCGAAAGACUAGCUAAUACCGCAUAAGAUCUACGGAGGAAAGUGGGGGAUCGCAAGACCUCACGCUCCUGGAGCGGCCGAUAUCUGAUUAGCUAGUUGGUGGGGUAAAAGCCUACCAAGGCGACGAUCAGUAGCUGGUCUGAGAGGACGACCAGCCACACUGGGACUGAGACGCGGCCCAGACUCCUACGGGAGGCAGCAGUGGGGAAUUUUGGACAAUGGGGGCAACCCUGAUCCAGCAAUGCCGCGUGAGUGAAGAAGGCCUUCGGGUUGUAAAGCUCUUUUGUCAGGGAAGAAACGGUAGUAGCUAAUAUCUACUACUAAUGACGGUACCUGAAGAAUAAGCACCGGCUAACUACGUGCCAGCCGCCGCCGUAACAC